UUGGGUAACCAUGACAUGCUGCUAGGCGUCAACCAUGGUUUGUGGAAGCCCUAAACGUGUAUAAUCACUAAAGGGAGAAUUGAAAAUAGUUUCAAUUCACAAUCGAUGUAAAAUGGUUUUAAUCGCCCACUACCUCGCUAAAAGGAACCUAAUGGAUCGCACACCGAAAGAGGUGGAGAUUGGAGAUUAAACGGAAAUGAGUAAGAAUGAUUAAAUGGUUUAAUCAUUUAUUUAUGGCAAGGAUUAAUUAAUAUGUUAAUUAAUCAAACGAAUAAGUUCGUUAAAUGACCUCGGGAUAGUUUUGGACCUUAAGGCCCAAUGGGCUUCGAACGUCAAGCCCAUUAACUUAAGUUGGAUGACAAUUUAAUGAAUGAAGAUUCAUUAAAGCCCAAAAGCCCAAAAUCCCCUAAAUGGCCAGCCAUGAUGAAAUGAAUUAGGGUUUUGGUUGUUUAGGUCACUUAAAGAAGUGACUAUAUAAAUGAUUUUAUAACUAAAUAUUCAUUAAGUGAAAAAUGGGUUUAUUUUUGGGGGAAAAUUGGUGAGAAUUGUCUCUCCAUUUCUCUCUAAAGAGGCCAACACCUUGGAGGGUACAUCUAGCAAUC
rnacentral:lncRNA from 1 species